UACGUAGGGUGCGAGCGUUAAUCGGAAUUACUGGGCGUAAAGCGUGCGCAGGCGGUCUGUUAAGACCGAUGUGAAAUCCCCGGGCUUAACCUGGGAACUGCAUUGGUGACUGGCAGGCUUUGAGUGUGGCAGAGGGAGGUAGAAUUCCACGUGUAGCAGUGAAAUGCGUAGAGAUGUGGAGGAAUACCGAUGGCGAAGGCAGCCUCCUGGGCCAACACUGACG
rnacentral:rRNA from 1 species